rnacentral:rRNA from 1 species
AGACCGGCUUACUGGUCGUGCUAUUGUACGUACUGGUAUAAUCGGUUUCUCCUUUCUGACGAACUUUAAUGCCAUUAAUUUGGUGUUUUAGGGAAUCAGGACUGUUACUUUGAAAAAUUAGAGUGUUUAAAGCAGGCUCACGCUUGAAUACAUUAGCAUGGAAUAACGGAAUAGGACGUUUGAUUCUAUUUUGUUGGUUUCUAGGAUCGACGUAAUGAUUAAUAGGGAUAGUUGGGC